rnacentral:rRNA from 1 species
UAGGGAAUCUUCGGCAAUGGACGAAAGUCUGACCGAGCAACGCCGCGUGAGUGAAGAAGGUUUUCGGAUCGUAAAACUCUGUUGUUAGAGAAGAACAAGGACGUUAGUAACUGAACGUCCCCUGACGGUAUCUAACCAGAAAGCCACGGCUAACUACGUGCCAGCAGCAGCGGUAAUACGGAGGUGGCAAGCGUUGUCUGGAGUUAUUGGGCGUAAAGCGAGCGCAGGCGGUUUCUUAAGUCUGAUGUGAAAGCCCCCGGCUCAACCGGGGAGGGUCAUUUGACACUGGGGGACUUGAGUGCAGAAGAGGAGAGUGGAAUUCCAUGUGUAGCGGUGAAAUGCGUAGAUAUAUUGAGGAACACCAGUGGCGAAGGCGGCUCUCUGGUCUGUAACUGACGCUGAGGCUCGAAAGCAUGGGGAGCAAACAGG